rnacentral:rRNA from 1 species
AUUGAACGCUGGCGGCAGGCCUAACACAUGCAAGUCGAACGAGUGGCGGACGGGUGAGUAAUGUCUGGGAAACUGCCUGAUGGAGGGGGAUAACUACUGGAAACGGUAGCUAAUACCGCAUACCAUCAGAUGUACCCAGAUGGGAUUAGCUUGUGGGUGGGGUAACGGCUCACCACGGCGACGAUCCCUAGCUGGUCUGAGAGGAUGAACAUCCACACUGGAACUGAGACACGGUCCAGACUCCGACGGUAGGCAGCAGUGGGGAAUAUUGGACAAUGGGCGCAAGCCUGAUGCAGCCAUGCCGCGUGUAUGAAGAAGGCCUUCGGGUUGUAAAGUACUUUCAGCGGGGAGGCGUUACCCGCAGAAGAAGCACCGGCUAAAUCCGGUCCAGCAGCCGCGGUAAUAC